UACGGAGGGUGCAAGCGUUGUCCGGAUUUAUUGGGCUUAAAGCGUGCGUAGGCGGCUCUUUAAGUCAGGGGUGAAAUCCUGCAGCUUAACUGUAGAAUUGCCAUUGAUACUGAAGAGCUUGAGUACAGACGAGGUAGGCGGAAUUUAUGGUGUAGCGGUGAAAUGCAUAGAUACCAUAAAGAACCCCUAUUGCGAAGGCAGCUUACUAGGCUGUAACUGACGCUGAGGCACGAAAGCGUGGGGAUCAAACAGG
rnacentral:rRNA from 1 species